UCUGGACUGACACUGACACUGAGGUGCGAAAGCGUGGGUAGCAAACAGGAUUAGAUACCCUGGUAGUCCACGCCGUAAACGAUGUCGACUAGCCGUUGGGUCCCUUGAGGACUUUGUGGCGCAGUUAACGCGAUAAGUCGACCGCCUGGGGAGUACGGCCGCAAGGUUAAAACUCAAAUGAAUUGACGGGGGCCCGCACAAGCGGUGGAGCAUGUGGUUUAAUUCGAUGCAACGCGAAGAACCUUACCUACCCUUGACAUCGUGCGAACUUGGUAGAGAUACCUUGGUGCCUUCGGGAGCGCACAGACAGG
rnacentral:rRNA from 1 species